rnacentral:rRNA from 1 species
AGUUGUGCUAAGGUAGUGUAGUAAUUUUUCCUUAAUUGGAAACUUGGAUGAACGGCUGACAAGAUACCUCCUAUAUCAAUGCAACAGUUAAAACUUGUAAUCUAGGUCAAAAUGCCUUCUGGUAUUAUAGGGACGAAAGACCCUCCGAACAUAUUAUAUCAAGAUGGAUCUCUUGACAUAUUUCAACUGGGGGCGUGUAUUAAUAUUAACAAAGUUACGUUUUAAAAUGUAUGGUCAUAAUAAGCAUAAAUUUUAGACAAUGGAGAAUUAAGUUACCCCAGGGAUAACAGCGUUGUAUAUCCAGAAGGCCCAUAUCUAAGCAUGAUUUUGCGACCUCGAUGUUGAAUUAAAUAUACCUCUUGGAGCAGAAA